GAUGAAGAACGUAGCGAAAUGCGAUAAGUAGUGUGAAUUGCAGAUUUCAGUGAAUCAUCGAAUCUUUGAACGCACAUUGCGCCCUUUGGUAUUCCUUAGGGCAUGCCUGUUCGAGCGUCAUUUAAACCUUCAAGCUCAGCUUGGUGAUGGGUGACUGUCCGCUGCCUCCCCCCGGGGUGCGCCGCGGACUCGCCUCAAAUUUAUUGGCGGCCGGUACGUUGGCUUCGAGCGCAGCAGAAACGCGUAACUCGAGGUCUCCGUGGCGGCUCCCACAAGCAACCUUCAUUAUUUUGACCUCGGAUCAGGUAGGGAUACCCGCUGAACUUAAGCAUAUCAAUAAGCGGAGGA
rnacentral:misc_RNA from 1 species